ensembl:lncRNA
CCUGGGGAGCGGCUGUGCACAGACACCCCUACGUGCACAGGAAUCAUGCACUGAACCUGGAGCGAAGUCAAGCACAGAGCCUCCUCCCAGCUCAUCCAGCAACACGUUCACAAAAGGCCCUGUUAUUAUCCCCACAUCCACACUCUCUAACCCUGUAAUUAGAUGCUUAGGCUAUGAUUGCCCCAUUGUCCGCUGGAUGGGUUUAAUCAUUCUUUUCUCCUACAGUGGCAAUUUUGUCCCAAUUAAUUAUUUCGGUUUGAACAGCAAUAGCUGGUUGAGUUUAGAGAGAAAUUAAAAGGGUAGAGCAGAAUAAUGAAGAGCGAGCUAACAAGGGAAGGGCUGCAGACAAGGCUGCUGCUCCAAGCUCUCCUUCGAGGGCCGGAGCACCUCCUCGUCUGUGCACGACAGCAGGGCUGUGUGUUCAUCCUCAGGUCCAGCAGAAGGUGCUGCUGCAGCCGCAGGGGCAGUGACAGCGGUGGUGGCUCCGAGGCGAGUGGCAGUGCAGGCAGAGCAAAGAGAUGAGGGCAAUGCCACAAAUUAGGGCCAGCCUAUGGCUGUCAGUGGCAGUUCCCUGAGGGGAAAGUUCUGCCCAGGCAGUCCCCGAGGUCUGGGCUGUGCUCUCUGCCCUCCCAUCCCGUGCCCAAACCCCCCAUUCACUUUUGGCCCCACACUGUGGCAGAGCCCUGCAGCCCCCCAGCACUGCAGUAUGUGUUUUGGUGGCUCUCAGCAAGACAUGUGCUGUUCUCUGGUUGAUGUGGGAUGCAAUUGAAUUGGGUUAAAAAAAAAAAUGAUAAGGUUAUACAAGGUUUUGAGGGGAGAGGGGAAAAAAAUUCAUGCCUUUCAGGAGUUAUAAAAAUGCUGCCUGUGCAAUUCAUGUAUAAUUCAAUGAAUUCCAGAGUAGUUUGAAUAUUUAAAUUAUGUAUGAUCAAAGCAAUAAAGAAAUCUGCAUUUCCUCACUCCGAGCCCCCAGACAUAAUGCUCCCAAGCAGCCCCUCCCCAAAAGGCAGCUCCUCGCCUCCAUUGUGCCUCAGUGCUGCAAAGAAAUUGAGUUUGUCUGGAAAAAUGCAGCGCUGAGUGCAGCCACUGUUGGCCGGCAGCCGUGCAGAGGUGGGCAGGUGGGGGCAGCCCCACAGCAUCCCAACCUCACCUCAUCUCCGUGCUGUGACUCCCAGGU